rnacentral:ncRNA from 1 species
CAUGAUGAGCUGUCAUAGCUUGGAUUGUAUAGCAGGUAGUCGCAGUCGCCUACAUUAAAUAAUUUUUUUAAUGUAAAAAAGAUUCAUUCAAAAUGAAUCUUUUGAAACGUUAGAAUUGUUAUGAUUUUAAUGAACUGU